rnacentral:rRNA from 1 species
UACGUAGGGGGCAAGCGUUGUCCGGAAUCAUUGGGCGUAAAGAGCGCGUAGGCGGUCCGGUAAGUCGGUUGUGAAAACUGGGGGCUCAACCCUCAGAGGCCGACCGAUACUGCCGGGCUAGAGUCCGGAAGGGGCGAGUGGAAUUCCUGGUGGAGCGGUGAAAUGCGCAGAUAUCAGGAGGAACACCCGUAGCGAAGGCGGCACUCUGGGCCGAUACUGACACUGAGGAGCGAAAGCGUGGGGAGCAAACAGG